UGAUGAAGGCCCUAGGGUUGUAAAGUCCUUUUAACGGGGAAGAUAAUGACGGUACCCGUAGAAUAAGCCCCGGCUAACUUCGUGCCAGCAGCCGCGGUAAUACGAAGGGGGCUAGCGUUGCUCGGAAUUACUGGGCGUAAAGCGCACGUAGGCGGGUUGUUAAGUCGGAGGUGAAAUCCUGGAGCUCAACUCCAGAACUGCCUUCGAAACUGACGAUCUUGAGUUCGGGAGAGGUGAGUGGAACUGCGAGUGUAGAGGUGAAAUUCGUAGAUAUUCGCAAGAACACCAGUGGCGAAGGCGGCUCACUGGCCCGAUACUGACGCUGAGGUGCGAAAGCGUGGGGAGCAAACAGG
rnacentral:rRNA from 1 species